UACGUUCUCAAGUCUUGUACUCACCGCCCGUCAACUCAAGAGAGCCGGGAGUGCCCGAAGUCCCCGCUUGCGGGGCCUAAGGCAAGCUCGGUGAUAGGGAGU
rnacentral:rRNA from 1 species